UCAGCCGAUGAGAUAGCGAGUGAACUCAAAUAUAGGGUUGGGCCUAGUCAAGCCCAAAAUGUGUAGGCCUAACACGAGAGGCGUUUAGACCAUCUAAUCUAUAACUAAUACGGAGUAUUAAAAUAACAAAAGUUGAAUCAACACCACGAACCUCACCACCUCACUAACCAUGAAGGCACGAACCACAACAUAACCACUGCAAACUCCAAAUCCAGUGGCGGACCUGGGCUUGUGCCUGGUGGGUCAAGUGACUCACUAGGGCCCAAAAAAAAUUUUAAGGUUUUUUUUUUAAAAAAAAAAAAUAAAUAAAAAAAAAAUAAAAAUAAAAAAUUCUAACGUCUGAGUUAGCCCUAGCCCACUUCGCCCUAGCCCACUUCGCCAGUUCGCCUCUUCCUCUUCGCAAGUUCGCAUCUUCCUCUUCGCCUCUUCCUCAGACCUCAGUUCCUCUUCGCUAGUUCGCUUCAUCUUCCUCUUCGCAUAAUUUCAGUUUGCUCACGCCUCCAGUGCUGGCUGUGCUGCUGGCCUGCUGGCUGCUGCUCGCCUAGUCGCUUGCUCCAGCCUCCAGUGCUCUGUGCAGCUGUGCUCUGUCCUCUGCUGCUCGCCUAGUCGCCUGCUCCAGUGCCUAGUCGCUGACUUGCUGUCUUGCUGAGUGUUGGGCAUGGCCCUGCUGCAGUGCUGCUCCGCCUGCUCCGCUGCUCGCCUCAAUCAUUCAGCGCCUGCCGCCUCCUCCUAGCAAGGUAGGUAAUCAUCAAUUGAUUCUUUUUUUUUUGUGAAUAUUUGAUCAAAUUUGCAUUACUUGUCUCUUAAAAUUAGUAUAUACGGUGAAUGUUCAUUGAAUUUGCAUUAUUUGUGUAAAUUGUGUUUUGACUGUUAAAUUGAACUUAUUAGUUUAUCUGUUUAUGUCAUUAUGUGAAAUUGUGAAUAUGUGAUGACGGACAUUGUAUAAGACAACAAUUAAACUAUUAGUGUAAGGAGGAUUAUAAAUUUAUAAUUAGAUUACAGUUUGGACUGGUUAGUGCUUAGUGGUGCUAGUCGCAUAUUCGGCUGGAAGUUCCGUAUAGACUAGUGGAGAUAUUAGUUUGUUGAUUUUAGUCUUGUCAAUUUUAAGCUUUUUAAUUAUUAGUUAGUAUUGUAAUCUUGUCAAUUUUCUAUUUGGAUGAUCUUUGUAAAUAAUUUUUCUGGGGAAUAUUGCUUGAUUUAGUUGAAUAUGAACCGUCCAACCAAUUAUGAUUAGGGAUAAUUCGCUGUUGGGGUUAUUUGCAUAUGAUUCAUACUUGUGAUUUCAUUUGUUUUGUUAACUUUGUGUUUGAUUAGGUUGUUGAAUUUAUAUGCAGGGAAGACUCAGCUUAUCAAUCAUUUUCUAAUCAACAAGAGUUGGUAUAUUGUUAAUUUGCCUGGAUAUGGGUGAGUCUCUGUAAUUUUGGUUUUAAUUUGGGCAAUUUUGAAAGGAUACCUAGAUCUUAUUUCAAAGAUCUUCGUGCUCAUAAGCGUGCUUAAGCGAUGAUGAUAGCUUUACUAAGUUUCCUACAUCAUCAUGAAAUUUACGAAUAAUACUACAAUGAACAUUAGUAUGUACUUCCUUUGCCUCCUAUUGUUUCUCCGUAUUUUGAUGGAUCUUGUUGGAUUUGUCACAGCAUGUAUUAUAAACAUCAGUAUUUGUUA